GCGCUCAUAGUGUAGUGGUUAGCACAAAUGGUUUCCAUCCAUUUAGCCCGGGUUCGAAUCCCGGUGGGCGCA